UCCCGACCUUCCUUUUGUGGUUAUAUACAUUGUGUUAAAAUUUUAUCGAUUUCUAUAUACUUAUACAAAAGUUAUUAUCUGGAAACCAUCUGUCUUUGGACGACGCUGUCGAAGUGAUACAAAUAUACAACCAAAUUUUUUCUUAAUUUUUUGCGGUCGUAUAAAAAUCGUUUUUAAAAUCUAUUCUUAGAUCAAAAGCAAAACCUAAGUUAAUUGCACAGUAAAUACCUGUAAUUUCUGAAACU
rnacentral:lncRNA from 1 species